rnacentral:rRNA from 1 species
GAUGAACGCUGGCGGCGUGCUUAAUACAUGCAAGUCGAACGGAAAGACCCUGCUCUUGCUGGGUUCUCGAUUGCCGCGCGGGUGAGAGUCACGUGUGUAUCCCGCCCCUGUCUUUGGGAUAACUUCUGGAGAAUGCGGCUCUAAUCCCGGAUGAUCUCCUGCAGCAUGGUGUUCGUUGGAAAGAUUCGGCUGUGGGGUCUGGACUCGCGGCUUAUCAGCUUCUUGGUGGAGUGGUGGCUUACCAAGGCUUUGACGGGUAGCCGGCCUGUGAGGGUGACCGGCCACAUUGGCACUGAGAGACGGCACAGGCUCCUACGGGAGGCAGCAGGGGGGAAGAUUGCACGAUGAGCGGAAGCCGGAUGCAGCAACGCCGCGUGCCGGAUGACGGCCUUCGGGGUGUAAACCGAUUGCGCCUGUGACGAAGCGUGAGUGACGGUAAUGGGUAAAGAAGCACCGGCUAACUACGUG